AGCCAGACUCCUACGGGAGGCAGCAGUGGGGGAUAUUGCACAAUGGGGGAAACCCUGAUGCAGCGACGCCGCGUGGGCGAAGAAGUAUUUCGGUAUGUAAAGCCCUAUCAGCAGGGAAGAAGAAAUGACGGUACCUGAGUAAGAAGCACCAGCUAAAUACGUGCCAGCAGCCGCGGUAAUACGUAUGGUGCAAGCGUUAUCCGGAUUUACUGGGUGUAAAGGGAGCGUAGACGGCAGUGCAAGUCCGGAGUGAAAGCCCGGGGCUCAACCCUGGGGCUGCUCUGGAAACUGUAAAGCUGGAGUGCGGGAGGGGCAGGCGGAAUUCCUGGUGUAGCGGUGAAAUGCGUAGAUAUCAGGAGGAACACCGGCGGCGAAGGCGGCCUGCUGGACCGUAACUGACGUUGAGGCUCGAAAGCGUGGGGAGCAAACAGGAUUAGAUACCCCGGUACU
rnacentral:rRNA from 1 species